rnacentral:lncRNA from 1 species
AAAAGUAUGUAGUUUAAUUUAAAUGUAUCCCAGUAAUGCAUGAUCUAAAUUUCAUAGCCAUAAACGUAACAAGGAUUUCCUUUUAUACUAAAAUUUAGACUAUGGUAAGCAAGUUUUGCAGUUCAUUAUAUUAUCCAUCUAUUCAUCCUUCAUCCCCCAAAUAAUUUUAUGUACCAGUUAUAUUACCAGAUACUUAGAAAACUAAUAAGUUACUGCUGCUCCUUUCAGGAAGUUUCAGGCGAAGAGGUGUGUGUGGGAAGGUCUUUAAAGAAGAAUGAAUACUGCAGAGGUAUAAAAAAUAUAUCAAGGGCUAUGCUAGCACAAAGCAGAGAGGGCUGGCUCUAACUACAGAGAGUCUUGACAAAGAAUUUUAACCAAGGAACAGUAGUUCAUGGACAUGAAGGAACUUGUGCAAUUUACCUGUGUGGAAUCAGAAAAAUGGUUCAGAAGCAAAGUAAAUAGAAGGUAAAUCAUUUGACAUAUUAGUGAGCAAGUAGAGAAAAUAGGGUUCAAAAAGACUUCAAAACAAAAGUUAACUUUUGCACCCUAUUUUUACUUAAAACACUGUUAUGUGUACUGAAAAGGAACUGAUUCAAUAAAAUUCAUUAGUGGCUACUGUUCUACAUUUUAAAUGUAAUCAAAGGACAUAGAUCUGUGAAGAUAAUACUUCUUAAAAUAGUAACAAUGAGAAUCUAAUGAUAUUC